GAACGCACCUUGCACCCUUUGGUAUUCCGAAGGGUAUACCUGUUUGAGUGUCAUUAAAUUCUCAACUUCAAAAGAGUUUGUGCUUUUUUGAAGCUUGGACUAUGGAAGCUUGCUGGUAUCACUAUCAGCUCUUCUUAAAUGCAUUAGCGGAACUGUGAAGGACCAGCUUUGGUUUGAUAAUCCUAUCUAUGCCGUCGCUGUGGACUUGUGUUCAGCUUCUAACUGUCUUCGGACUGUCUCCUAUGAGGCAUACAACUUUAAGCUUGACCUCAAAUCAGGUAGGACUACCCGCUGAACUUAAG
rnacentral:misc_RNA from 1 species